rnacentral:rRNA from 1 species
AUUAAACGCUGGCGGCAUGCCUUACACAUGCAAGUCGAACGGCAGCACGGGGGCAACCUUGGUGGCGAGUGGCGAACGGGUGAGUAAAGCAUCGGAACGUGCCCUGGAGUGGGGGAUAACGUAGCGAAAGUUACGCUAAUACCGCAUAUUCUGUGAGCAGGAAAGCAGGGGAUCGCAAGACCUUGCGCUCUGGGAGCGGCCGAUGUCGGAUUAGCUAGUUGGUGGGGUAAAGGCCUACCAAGGCGACGAUCCGUAGCGGGUCUGAGAGGAUGAUCCGCCACACUGGGACUGAGACACGGCCCAGACUCCUACGGGAGGCAGCAGUGGGGAAUUUUGGACAAUGGGCGAAAGCCUGAUCCAGCCAUGCCGCGUGAGUGAAGAAGGCCUUCGGGUUGUAAAGGCUCUUUCGGUUGGGGAGAAUAGCAUAGGCUAAUACCCUGUGUAGAUGACGGUACC